UUAUGAUUACAGCUCCCAAGCAAACAUUAUAAGGCUGCGAUGAGACGACAUUUCUGAGCAUUGAGCGGAACAAAACAGACCGUAAG
rnacentral:rRNA from 1 species